GUUGGGGGUUGGUGACCCAGCCACUCUGACUCCUGGUGUCAGGCGUCAGCAAAUCUGUCCACAAAGAAAAGCGGAAGCUGAGACAGAGAGAGAAUCCAAUAAGGAAGAGACUCACGCACUUCCCCUGGUCCCACUCCCCGCACCCUGUCCUGCCGCCCCAGCCCCCCUGGGCCUCUCACUGCUGAGUCGGGGCCUUGUGCGCCCGGGCAGAAGUGAGGCUGUUGCAAGAAGCCCUGAGGUUUGCACAAGCCUCCCAGCUUUCUUUCAGCUUUCACUUCCUCUUCCUUUCUGGGGUUGUGCGCAGAGCUUACCUUUAAGUCUACAGUGAGGACAGCAGA
rnacentral:lncRNA from 1 species